UGUGUGUCUGUGGCGAGGGCGGGGAUUAGAAUCGUCUGCUUUGGGGGGGUGUGAGUGAGAGAGGGCCGAGUUGCAAGAGUUAUUUCAUCUGUGCAUUGAGUCCUCACCCUCCUCCUCUUCCCUCAGCCAGCGAGACCAUAGUGCUGCUGGCCAUGUCUUCACUGAGUCCCCACCGAUAUGUCCGCCGAAUGAGUUCCAGCCAGUGUGUGUUGGGCAUUGACAUCGGCACCACGUCCGUCAAGUGCUGUCUGGUGGAUGUGGCGUCCAAGGAGGUGCUGUCCAGCCAGAAGAAAGACACCUGCUCCAAUGUGCCUAGCGAACUGGGAACGGGCGGCAACAAGCAGGAUGUUCCCCGUAUCCUAUCAGCUCUACAAAUGUGUGUGUCUCGCCUUCCCCGGGAGAUGCUGAGGAAGGUGGUGCGUGUGGGGGUGUGUGGACAGAUGCAUGGAUGUAUGCUUUGGAGGCAGGGACAGGCAUGGGAGCAGAAACCAGACUCCGACAGGUUUACCUUUAACGAGGUGAGCAACCUGUACACGUGGCAGGACAGCAGGUGCAGCCAGGAGUUCCUCUCGUCGCUGCCCGUGCCAGAGUCCCACAUCGCCAUCUCCUCCGGCUAUGGCUGUGCUACGCUGCUCUGGUUCUCUAAACACAAGCCGGACCAUCUCACAAAGUUUGACCGCGCCGCCACCAUCCAUGACUUCCUCGUGUGUAUGUUGUGUGGUCUGGAGAAGCCGGUCAUGUCUGUGCAGAACGCCGCCUCGUGGGGCUACCUCAACACUGAAACCAAGGAGUGGAACACAGAACUACUACAAGGUGCUGGGUUGCCUUUGGAGUUCCUGCCGGAGGUUGUGGAUUCGGGGAAGGAGGCAGGCAAGCUAAAGGUGCACUGGUAUGGCAUUCCAGCUGGCACCCCUGUCCUGGCAUCCUUAGGUGACCUCCAGUGUUCCGUGCUGCCUCUGCUCACCAAGAACACCCAAGCCAUCAUCAACAUCUCCACCUCCGCCCAAAUGUGCUUCAAAAUGCCGCAGGACUUCAAGCCAUGCAACAAGCCCCCCAGCAGCCCCAGCCCCAUUGAGUACUUUCCAUUCUUCAAGUCGUACCUUGCUGUGGCUGCCUCUCUCAAUGGUGGCAAUGUGCUGGCCGCCUUCGUGAGGAUGGUACAGCAGUGGAGUCUGGACCUUGGCUUUUCCGUGCCCCAGUCAAAGAUCUGGCAGCGAGUCCUUGAGCUUGGCGGGGAUGGAGCAAGUGAAUCUAACCUCCUCAUUGAACCCACACUGUUCGGGGAGAGACACAGCCCCCUGCAGACUGCCUCGGUUUCGAAUGUGGACCUGGGGAACCUCUCUCUGGGCCAGGUGAUGCGCUCCCUGUGUAAAGGCGUCAUCACCAACAUGCACAGUAUGAUGCCUCGGUCAAUGCUGGAGGAGAACGAGAUCACCAGCAUCAUCUGUGGGGGCUCAGCGUUGGCAAGGAACCCUAUACUGCUGCAGGAGCUGGAGCACGCCUACCAGCUGCCCACCACCCUCGACUCCCGGGGUGAUGCUGCAUAUGGGUCAGCGCUGGCGGCGAUCAAUGCUGCGGCAGACUAGGCUGUGGUGAACUGUGAUGUGUGUGUGUGUGUGUGUGUGUGUGUGUGUAGUGCCUUGGUUUUGUGUGUUCUUGAGGUGGUUGUGGUCUGUUUUCUUAUUCUUUAGUGGUACUUUUAGAGAGAGAGAGAGAGAGGGAGAGAGAGAGAGAGAGAUAAUAAGUCACUAUGAAAAAAGACUAACGCAUGUAAGUUAAUUCAGGAAAGUUGCAAGUGACAUUAACCAGUUCGCUUCACAAGGCUCGGUACUGAAUGAGCAUCCUUCACCAUAUCAUCCCUCGCUGGCCAUUACUGUACAUUUCCAAACAGACGCUGAAUUGGUUAGUUUGAAUAAGGAAAACAAAGAAAAAUCUCGCAUUCAUUUCAUUUCAAACAUUUAGACAUUUAGAAGGAGAAGAAUAUACAUCAAUUUAUGCAUUCAUCUCAUCAUAAAUUAUACAGAAAAACAGCUAUGAUAAUUCACUCCUUUAAAAUUAGGAUGAUCAAUUAACGGAAUUUAGUUAGGAAUUGUACGUUGAGGAAAAAAAGAACUGAAAACAUGGAAACAAUAUGAAACAAGAACAAUUACUUAAGUUUUCUAUUCAGUAUGUCUGGUACCCAAACUGGAAUAUACUUUAGAGAGAGAGAGAGAGAGAGAGAGAGAGUGAGUGAGUGAGUGAGUGAGUGAGUGAGUGAGUGAAAGAAAUACACAAAGAUACCAGUACUCACCAUAAUGCAUGCAAUAUAUAUACUGCCAUAGACAAACAACACAUCAUUGAAAGCUGUACAUUAAGUGCCAUUGAGUCUUUGUUUGUAGAAGCACAGCAGUAAGGCGGGUUGUAUGCAAAUCACUGUUGUAUAAUUUGUGCACCAGUUUGCCUUUUGAAUGUAAAGAACCACUGUAUUUAUAAAGGCUGGUGGUGUAGGCAGUGUGCUAAACGAGGCUUCUUACUCAUAUAUUGUGCUUUCAGUGAGCUGGUCGGUGUAUGAAAGUAGAGAAAUAAGGGAAGCUGCAAGAAGCCAUUAGAUCUAUACAUGGUUGUUACUGUGUGUAUGUGUGUGUGUGUGUGUGUGUGUGUGUGUGUGUACUGGUGCUAGGGAACUGUAUAUGUGUUGUCAUUGUUUCUGUGUAUGAUGAUUUGUGUUGUUGUGUUGUCAGGUUCUUUAUUGUUAAGCUAUUACCAGUUUUUCAGAGUUAAUUUGUCCAUUUUUUUUUACUUUAUUUUAUAUUUUAUUUUAUUUAUUUAUUUAUUUAUUUUCAUUUUACGUUUUGUUUUAUUUUAUUUUAUUUAUUUUUUUUUUUUUGUAACAGGAAAUUUUAAUUAGCUUUCUUCUUUCAUUCCUUUCUUUCUUUCUUUCUUUCUUUCUUUCUUUCUUUCUUUCUGUCUUUCUAUCUGUCUCUUUUCCUUCCUUCCUUCCUUUCUUCCUUUCUUUCUUUAAUCUUUCUUUCUUUCUUUCUUUGUCUUUCUGUAUUGCUUUAUUUUGUAUCUUUCACCAAUCCUCAAAACAAAAUCAGGAUAAGUUUUUGGGCAUUAACAUAUUAUACUCAAUAACACUUUUUAUGAGCAAGCAGGAGAUUAAGUGUUGUAUUCAUCUUUUUCUUUUCUUCUUCUUUUUCUUCUCUUUUCCUCCCCCUUUAUAAAUUUUAACAUUUUUUUCUUCUUUUCUUUUUCUCCCAUGUUUUGCAUCUUCGGUGAGUCCUUUGAAACACAAAAGCAGGUCAAUUAUGGGCAUUAUUUUAUUAGGCAAGUGAGGGCAGCUAUUCUGUGUCACAAGGACAGAGAUUUGUAUGGGUUAUGUAACAGAGAGGGAAUUAUUUUCUUGUUAUUAUUUUUCUUGUUUUUUGUUCCUGUUCUUGUUAUUCUCUUGUUCUUCUGGUAUUUUUCAUUCCUGUUCUUGUUAUUCUCUUCUUGUUCUUCCUCUUCCAGUGUGAUAAUGAGAGAAGUGUGUGUGUGUGUUUGAGAGAGAGAGAGAGAGAGUGAGUUAUCCACAAAUAUCUUAAUAAACAAGGCACAAAGACUCAUAGAUAACUUAUAGAAUAGCCAGAAGAAUACACUAAUGCAAUAACAAGACAUAAUAACAACAAUAAUAGCAGCAAUAGUAAUAAUAGUAACAAUAAUAGUGAUAAUAGCACAUUUUUUUCUGAGACAGCAAUAUUAUACCACCACCAUCACCACCACCAUCACCAUCCCUCCCAUAAUCUCCUUUAAGUUGUCAUAGCGCCUUACACAUGCACAGAGGUAGGAGUAGUAGUAAUAGCAGGCCAAGACACCACACAAACGAAAAGUACAAGUUUGUUCUGCUUUAUCGAUAAGUUUAAAGCGUUUCCGAUGAUGCAAUGAUACACCGCGCUCCUUCUACGUAUAUUUUUUGACAGCUUAAAGCAUUGAUGUGGCGUAGAUGUGUAUGUGUGUAUGUAUAACCCAGCUUGCUCAAUUCUAUGCCAUGCAGUGGUUGUGUAUGAGCUUGGCAAUUGUGUAUUUAUUUUCAGUUUUUUUUUUUCUGUUUUUAAUUUGGUUUGUCACGACUUAAAGUUAAAAUGAAAACGCACAUAGAAACUUCGUAUAAAUGGAGUUACUUUUAAGGCAGCAACCAAGAAACUUAAUAUAAAAAAAACAUACUCAACGUAAAAUAAGAGUUGAAAUGAAAACAUACAUUAGAAAUCUCGUAUAAAUAAUGAGCUUACCACAUCCUCGUAUAUUUCAGAUAUCAUGAAGUCAGAAACAUUACAAUAUUCCGAGCUGUUUUCAGAGCUCAAGUGUGAAUAUGUGUGGAGUUUCAACAGACAGACAGGCAGACGGAUGUGUAUCGUAAUACUUUCUAUGGAAUCUUGCUCUUCCAGUGAAUGCCAGGGUGUGUUUUGACAAGAUAACUUUAGUGAAAUAUUACCAGAUAAGCAACAGUGAGGUGGUGACUGGUGGGGGUCAUUGUGUCAGGGGUAAGCAGUCCAUUGGGUUAAUUUAAAUCAGUGUUGUUUUCCAGGAGCUGAUAAUGGUUUCGACUGCCUUGUGUGCCAUUUUGUAGGUGUUUUUGAAGGUUUGGGAAGUGGUGAUAAGAAGUUUUGUUUUGAUUUUUGUGGAGUUCUGAAGUUAUUGUGUUUUUGGGGUUGGGUAAGGAAGUUUUGAGUUUUGUUUGAGUUGAGUAGAGAAGUUGUUGUGUUUUAAGUUUGUAGAUUAGUUGUUUAUGUUAAGUUUACAGAUGAAAUUGUAGUCUUUUAAAUCUGAAGAGAUGUUAUUUAUGUUUCUUUAAGUUUGAAGCGAAGUUAUUAGUUUUUUUUUUUUUUUUAAGCUUGAAUAUGUUAUUUAUGUUUUUAAGUUUGGAGAGAAGUUAUUUUAUUUUUAAGUCUGCAGAGAAUAUAUUUAUGUUUAAGUAGAGCAGAGAAUUUAUUUAUGUUUUUAUCAAGCACAGAAGUUAUAUUUUAAUCGAACAGAGAAGCAAUAAUGUUUUAUUUUUUAUGUAGAGCAGACAAAUGAUAAUGUUUUAAGUAUAACAGAGAAACUAUUACAUUUAUUUUCUGUUCUACCUAGUCUACAAUAUAUACAAUCCCACUUAUUACUGUUUACAUUUUUAAUUCCCUACAAACACAGACCAGUACAUAAUAUUCCUGAGAGCAGCAGACUAGCAUGACCUCACUCUUAUGAACUAGCUUCCAUACAUCAUAGCAUAUCUUAGAGCAUUACAAACUGACCCAUAGAAAGAUACACCACAAUAAUUUAGCAUGUAAGAUAGAUUUAGGCAUUAAGUAACUACAGGAGGCAGGAAAACAUAGUGUGAUGCAGGGAUGAGAAAACAGUGGCAGGAAAACACAGUGAUGCAGGAAUGAGAAAAGUGGCAGGAAAACAGAGGGAUGCAGGAAUGAGAAAAUAGAGACAGAAAAACAGUGUGAUGCAGGAAUGAGAUUAUGGAGGCAGGAAAACAUACAGGGUGAUACAGAAAUGAGAGUAAGAGGUGAGAUUACUACUGAAACACUUUUCACAUCACUACACUCCAAAGGCUCUAGUUGAAGUGACACAGGUUUUUAAGGAUGUUUUUCUAGGGUUCUAGUGACAGAUGAGCUUUGUGCAUUAGUAACAGGAGAAACAUUCUACAUUCUUGAGAACCUGGUUAAUCAUCUCUGGCCAGUUGUGGUGAGAGAGCAAAGCAUUUCUGAAUACAAGUGUGUGUGGAGUGAUAGAAUGAGUGGAAAUAAAUAUACUGAGAUGUCUUUGGUUUAUGGAGGAGAUGUGUAAGGAAUAGUUUGAGAAGAAAUUGAUUGUGAGUAAAAUUGAAAGCUAAUACUGAAGAGGAAAGGUAGAAACAAAAAAAAAGAUAAUAGAUGAAGUGCAUGUGUGAAGGAGAUAAUGAAGAAAUAAGAAAUGUCUGGAAAGGAGGAGGUAGAGAUUGGAAGGCAGAGGGAUAGAGUAAAUGUGAAAUGCUUGGAUAGGAAGAGAUGAAGACUGGAUACUGGAUAGGAAAAAAGUAGUAUAAAAAUGAAAGAGAUGCAAGAAGAGACAGACAUAUAAAAGAAAUAAAUGUUUAAAAAAGGAGAGAUAGAGGCUGGGAGAUAAAAAGAUAAGAUAUAAAUAAAACAUUUGGAUGGAGAGAAAUAGAAGCUAGAAAUAGGAUAGUAUAAAUAAACACACACACAAAAAAAAAGGUGCUAGUAUUGAUAAAACAUUCAAACAAGCAAGAAAUAUAUAGAUAGGGAAAGAUAGAAGCUGUUUUAUAGUGGCCACUUCAAGGAACACAGAGAGAGAGAGAGAGAGAGAGAGAGAGAUAACUGCCCAUGAAACAUUGAUAAGCAGGUGGUGUUUUGUAGAUAAGGCAACAUUGUGUGACUGCAUGGUGGGAUAAGCUGGCUGUUUGACUUUCCAUGUGUAAAUAUGUAAUGUUUGGCCAGCCUCUGUAAAUAUGAGUGUGUGAGUGUAAUGGCCUGUGUUAUAUAUAAGGUAUCAUAAGGUAUCUUGUCCUAUACUUAGAAUAUGAGGCGUUUUGAAGCAAGACAAGGAAAGGUUUACAAAUUUGAUGUUCCUGGUGUAGAGAGAAAUUUUCCGUCAUGUAUAAAUUUGCCAAAAUGUUGAAAAUUCUCGACGUCAAUAUUUAAUGCUACAUAAUUCUUGAUAAUGUGUAUUGAUGAUGUUCCCCGAGGUGUUUGCCUGUGUGAUGUGAUGUGAUGUCUACCAAUAUGUCCCUAGAUAAGGUGACCUCGCCCAGCUUCGUCUUUUGGGCUCCAGGGAAUGAAGGAUUAGGACACUCAAGAAGCAAAGCACACUGUAGGAAUGAAUGAAUCUCUGGGAAUAGCAGGGUUUUGCUGUAUACCUAAACUGACUUGUGAGAGUUGUGAGUUGUCUCUGGAGUAACUUGAAUAAUGAGUUUGUACGAGGAGUCUGAACUGAGGUAUGGAUUAAUGAGGUUUGAAGUAACUAGUGGUGAAUGAUGAGCUUGUGUGAGGAAUUUGAAUUGAUUUAUAUUGGUAGUAAGAUAAGUGCUGAAUUUCUGAAAUAUCUUGAUGAAUAAUAAGUUUGUAGAAGAAAUUUGAAUAUAUUUGUGUGGAAUUAUUAGUAAGGUUUAGAAUAACUUGAUGAGUGUUGGGUCAGUGUGAGAAAUAUGAACAGGUUAUGUGAGUGAUAAAUAAUGUUUUAAAUAGUUACUGAUGAAUAUGUAAGUAUGAAAAAUAUGAAUGAUUUGUGAGGAUAAUUAGCAACAUUUGAAAUAACUAUGUGAAUGUUGUGUUACCUUGAGAAAUAUGGCCUUAUUUAUGUGAGGAAUUGAUAAGGUUAUAGGUAAUUACUUAUGAAUAAUGAAUUAAUAUGAGAAAUUUGACUUUAUUGAUGUGACAAAUUAGUAAGACUCUAAUAACUACUGAUAAAUAAUGAAUAUGAGAAAUUUGAACUUAUUUAUGUGAAGAAUUAGUAAAGUUUUAGAUCAUCACUGAUAAAUAAUUAGUUAGUAUGAGAAAUAUGUACUAAUAAAUAAGAUAAGUCCUCCUUUGUCCUAAUCUUGAGUAUAGAAAAUUGUCAUAAACCACGUGAACAAUACAGAACAAAAAAUAACCAGUAGAGAAUGUUCCGGAUGUGUGAAUUGCUUGUGACUUGAUGUUUUGAUGAAUGAGAGCUGUGCAGGGAAGGUGGCGCAUAGCAGACUGAUUCUCUUUGAAGUCACAAAAAUAAAGCGUUUGGAGAGUCUUGGUGCUUGGGACGGUGGCAUGCUGAGGGCCAUUUGGUGUGCAUGACAAGAUAUUUUUAUAAUUUUGUAUGCCAUAAUUUUCCAUCUGUAUAUAAUUUCACUUAAGUACAUUGGCUUGAUGAAGUGGACUACACAUUUACUUGUAUAUCAUGGAAAUCUGUCCAAAGAAAAACAUAGGAAAUUCACAGUGAUAAAAAUGAUUCGCUUGUAAAUAAUGUCCUAAAGGAGGCGAGAUUUGGCGUCUUGCAUGGAACACUCACAUGGGAAACUAAAACCAAUGUGGAAUGUGAUACUGAGCAUAUUCAUUACAUAUAUCACCUCAUACCAGCAAUACGUAUGUGCCAAUGGCCAGAGUCGCAUAUCCCACUCACUAGUGUAGGUGUUAGCUGUAGAGUGGUGCAGUGAAACCCUCAAUGUAGGGAAGUAUUAAAGGCAGAGACAAGUUUAUUAUGUACCAAAAGACACGUGUAUGACUGAAAAGUUGGUGAUGCAGUAAUGUGUUUCCAUAGCUACAAAAAUUGAAUAAUGAAAAAAAGUAAAGAAUAUGAAGUAAAGAAGGAAAAAUUGAUAAAAAGGAAUGUUGUAAGAGUGAAAUGAUGGAUAAUAAAAGUAAGAAAAUUCUGCAGUGUUGGAAGAAUGAGAUUGUUAAAAUUAGCACCAGAAAAUCAAUAUUGAAGUGAGAAAUAAGGAUGAAAAAGUGAGAUGAUGAAAGUAAUGCAAGAAAGUUAACUGAUAUGAAUAAAACCAGCCGAAAAAUCAGAAAAAAAAUGUGUUGUAAGAAUUAGAUGAUGAAAAGUGAAGAAGUUGGCUUUGUAAAAAUAAAAUACAUGUAAAAGAAAGAAAAAAAUGGCUGAUUGAUAAAACUAAUGAGAGAAAUUGACAUUGUGGAAGUGAAAUAAGAAAAAAAAAUCAAUUAGAACAAAAUGAAGACAAACUAAAACAAAACGAACAAGAAUAUAAUACAAAACAAAAGCAAAAGAAAAAAAAAAGUGAAACUAACAAAAUGCAAACCUUUAGAUAGAUAAAUGAUAAACUUCAGUAGAUAGAUAGAUAGAUAAUGAAUAUAUAAGAGAUUGAUGGAUGACUAAAGAGAGAGAGAGAGAGAGAGAGCACUAACAAAACCCCCUCUAGUGACACCUCCCUAAUCUCAAUACAGGGGGUUGAAUAGAGGCUGAAAUGUGGCAAUAAGGAAGAAAAAAAGUGGUGUGUUGAGCUGUGUGUUGUCACUGCUGUGUUUCCUAUUGCCUUAUUGUUUGCUGUGGCUUCUGUGGCACCUAUGGAGAUUAUGGGAGGCUGUGGCACUGAUGGAGAGAGAGAGAGAGAGAGAGAGAGACUUGUUUUUUCUCAAGAUGAUUAGAAAUAUAGAAAUCAGAUGAAAUUACUAGUUUAUAAGAGAAAGAGACACCUUUUUUUUUUCUCAAGAUAGGAGUUAGAAAUAAAAAGAUGAAAUUAUUAGUUUUGAGAGAGAGAGAGAGAGAGAGAGAGAGAGAGAGAGAGAGAGAGAGAUUACCUAGUUUGAUAAUGACAGGAAAAAGCAAUUUAAGAGAAAAUAUAUAGGUUGUCAGAUUAUUAUUAUUAUUAUUAUUAUUAUUAUUAUUAUUAUUAUUAUUAUUAUUAUUAUUAUUAUUAUUAUUAUUAUUACAAUUUAAAGAGAUCAAUGCAAAGGAGUCAACUCAUUAAUUAUUACCAUUAUCAUUUUUUUUAUCAUUAUUAUUUUACCUGAGGCCUAUAGAAAAAUAUAGGCCUAUUUCCUUAGGCUUAGGGGUCACCUUUACAUUUAUACUUUAUUAUGUGCACCAAUGAAGACAAGUAAAAAUAAGUCAGUGAAUAUAAAUAAAUCAACUCAUGAAUAUCACCACUGGACAUUAUAGGCACAGGUAACACACACACACACACACACACACACACACACACACACACACGUACAGUCAUUCCUUGUUAUCCACAGGGGUGGGUGGGGUGGAGGUGACAGACACGUGGAUAUUCUUUGUUGUAUUUUUCUUUUUCUCUUUUCUUUAGUUUGUUUCCUUUAUUUUCUAUUUUCGUCUUUUAUCUUCCGCUUUCUUUUCUUUUCGUUAUUUUUUUAUUUCCAUUAUUUUUAUUUUGUCUUAGAUUUACAUUAUAGAAAAUUAUUUGGGGUCCCUCUAAAGAACAUCCCUGAACACCCAAAGCUUAGAGGAAAUAAAGGAAAAACAAUUAACAAAAAAAAAAAUAAAUAAAUAAAUAAAUGAAGAAAAAUAGAUAUGAACACUUAUUUUAUUUAUUUAUUUACUUUUUUAUGUGGAAAUGUGAACCCGUGGAUAAUGAGGAAUGACUGCACUGUAAAUAAAUAUUCCACGACUAUCACUAAGCAUACUAACUUAUACCUGAACCAAAACACAUCAUGAAGUGCCGAUAUCCAGGCUACACUUCCCCUGUCAACUAAACUGAACUGAAUUAACCGUACUAACUGUAUCUUAUCACGUGCAUUCUAAUGUGGCUUUAUAAAAGGCUGUGGACAAAGACUUUAUUUUGAUAGUCGCACACUCAGGUUGUAUCUAAAGAAGAAGAAAAAGACAAUUAUUCACACUGAGUCUUACUAAUUCUAUAACAAUGUACAGCCGUGGCUAAAAAUUUGCUGAUAUAUUCUUUGUCAAUAAUUUAACUAGUGAGACCAAAAGAAGCCAGACUGAAUGAAGGUACAGAAGGAUUAUUAAAGGGAAAAUGAAGGAAGAGAAGGAAAUUUAAGGAUGAUAUGAAAGAAGAAAGAAUAAGAGAUCAGGAAAGGAUGUAAGGCCGAAGGAAGAUAGAAUUAAUAUUGAAGGAAGUAUGAAAGAAUAUUACAAGGAAGACGAUGGAGAUUGAAGAAGGAUAUGAAAGAAUCAGAGGAUGUAAGAUUGAAGGAAGGAAGAUAGAAUGAUUAUUGAAAGGAAAAUGAAGGAAGACAAAGAUUGAAGGACAUGAAAGAAGAAAGAAUAAGAGAUCAAAAGAAGCAAGAGUGAAGGAAGGUAGAAAGAGAAUGAAGGAAGACAAGAAAGAUUGAAAAAAAAUAUGAAAAGAAAAAAAAAUAGAUGAAAAGAAGCAAAAGUGAAGGAAAGUAGGAGUAUUGAAAGGAGAAUGAAGGAAGAUUUGGAAGAAGAAAGAAUUUGAAGGAAAACAUAUCGUAUAUAAAAUUUUUAGCCACGGCUGUACAGAUUCACUACUCAAUCAUACUAAUCAAUACACAACUGCAUAUCAAUCCUGUGUCUACAACUUCACACGGCUCCUUCAUACUUUCGAGAACUCUGGGUCACAAACUGUAUACUCGAUGGAAAACACAAAUAUACGUUAUGCUUUGUGUUUUUUUACGUAUAGGCGCGUUCGAUAUACAUUCAUGUGGGACUGUGAUGUGCUGAGAGGCUGAAAUAGGUACUAAUAAACCCCCAUGUAUUACCAGUGUUCUUGUGUCAGUAUUCUAAAGUCAUCUGGUAAGCUAAGAGUUAUCAGUUUAAUGCUGGUUAAUAUUCUUGUUUCCUUCAUUCUAUUUGGGUUUAUUUUCAUUUAUUUUUACUUUCCAGUGUUAAUUCAUACAGGCAAGCGAAGCAUACCACACGUAAUAACCAGAAGGGGUGUAUAUUUGCUCCCUUUAGGUGGAAAUACAGAAGCAGGCAGAGUUCCAGAGUGUACCAGUGAAAGGGAUGAAAGUUAACGCGUACGAUUAAUCAGUAUGCAUUCACAGGUAAUGGAAUGAUGACAGUUAACAUUUUUUUUCUUUUCUAACCGUUACAUCAUUAAAAGACUCCACAUAAGUUCAUCAAGUUGUUAUGGAGUUAAUCUGGCCACAAUUAACGGGAAUGUCAACCAAUUUGCUUUUUUUUUUUUUUUUUUUUUUUUUUUAAUACUGUUACGUCACUGAAAGCAGCCUGUCAGAUAAAGUACGCCAAAAUUUUCUUAACGUUGUAAUGGAGUUAAUGUAGCCAUGAUUAAUGAGAAUACUAACAUUUGCCAUUUUUUUUUUUUUAACUUGGAUCACUCAAAGCAGGCUGUCCGUCAGAAAUAGUACUCAAAUAUUCUUCACCACGUUGUGAUGGAGAUGCAGUGAGUAAAUAUAUAAAUACGUCCAAUUAGCGAGGAUCUUAACAAAUUCGCUAUUUAUAUAUAUUUUUGUAUUUUAUCACCAGUUAGCAAUCCACCAUCAUUUCUUCCAUCUGGUAUUAAUAAUCUAGCAACACUUAAGAAAUACUGGGACACUGACAUGGUAAUACUGAACGUGUGUGGGGGGGGGAGUUGCAGGAGUGACUAAAGAAAUGGUGUUUGGUGUGUAGUGAGGGAGUGCUGAGUGCUGGAUGUGGGGCAGCAGUCAGUCAGUCAGUCAGGACAGGACAUAAUAGUAAAGGCUCAUGCGUGUACUGAUUUAUAAAGGCAGCAAUAAAGUGAUGAAUCAGGA
rnacentral:misc_RNA from 1 species